UACGUAGGGGGCAAGCGUUAUCCGGAUUUACUGGGUGUAAAGGGAGCGUAGACGGAAUUGCAAGUCUGAUGUGAAAAUCCGGGGCCCAACCCCGGAACUGCAUUGGAAACUGUAUUUCUAGAGUGUCGGAGAGGCAAGUGGAAUUCCUGGUGUAGCGGUGAAAUGCUUAGAUAUCACGAAGAACUCCGAUUGCGAAGGCAGCCUGCUGGACUGUAACUGACGCUGAUGCUCGAAAGUGUGGGUAUCAAACAGG
rnacentral:rRNA from 1 species